CCUACGGGUGGCAGCAGUGGGGAAUAUUGGACAAUGGGCGAAAGCCUGAUCCAGCCAUGCCGCGUGUGUGAAGAAGGCCUUCGGGUUGUAAAGCACUUUCAGUGGGGAAGAAAGCCUUGGGGCUAAUACCCUCGAGGAAGGACAUCACCCACAGAAGAAGCACCGGCUAACUCCGUGCCAGCAGCCGCGGUAAUACGGAGGGUGCGAGCGUUAAUCGGAAUUACUGGGCGUAAAGCGCGCGUAGGCGGUCUGAUAAGCCGGUUGUGAAAGCCCCGGGCUCAACCUGGGAACGGCAUCCGGAACUGUCAGGCUAGAGUGCAGGAGAGGAAGGUAGAAUUCCCGGUGUAGCGGUGAAAUGCGUAGAGAUCGGGAGGAAUACCAGUGGCGAAGGCGGCCUUCUGGACCGACACUGACGCUGAGGUGCGAAAGCGUGGGUAGCAAACAGGAUUAGAUACCCCAGUAGUC
rnacentral:rRNA from 1 species